rnacentral:rRNA from 1 species
AUUGAACGCUGGCGGCAGGCCUAACACAUGCAAGUCGAGCGGAGCGGCGGACGGGUGAGUAAUGCCUAGGAAUCUGCCUGGUAGUGGGGGAUAACGUCCGGAAACGGGCGCUAAUACCGCAUACUCUCAGAUGAGCCUCGGUCGGAUUAGCUAGUUGGUGGGGUAAAGGCAUACCAAGGCGACGAUCCGUAACUGGUCUGAGAGGAUGAUCAGUCCCAGUUGAACUGAGACGUGGUCCAGACUCCUACGGGAUGCAGCAGUGGGGAAGAUUGGACAAUGGGCGAAAGCCUGAUCCAGCCAUGCCGCGUGGGUGGAGAAGGCCUUCGGAUUGUAAAGCACUUUAAGUUGGGAGGCGUUACCAGCAGAAUAAUCACCGGCUAACUACGUGCCAGCCGCCGCGGUAAUAC